rnacentral:rRNA from 1 species
AUUGAACGCUGGCGGCAGGCCUAACACAUGCAAGUCGAACGAGUGGCGGACGGGUGAGUAAUGGCUGGGAAACUGACUGAUGGAGGGGGAUAACUACUGGAAACGGUAACUACUACCGCAUACACUCGGAUGUGCCCGGAUGGGAUUAGCUAGUAGGUGGGGUAAAGGCGCACCCAGGCGACGAUCCCUAGCUGGGAGGAGAGGAUGAACAGCCACACUGGAACUGAGACACGGUCCAGACUCCUACGGGAGGCAGCAGUGGGGAAUAUUGCACAAUGGGCGCAAGCCUGAUGCAGCCAUGCCGCGUGUAUGAAGAAGGCCUUCGGGUUGUAAAGUACUUUCAGCUGGGAGGCGUUACCCGCAGAAGAAGCACCGGCUAACUCCGUGCCAGCCGCCGCGGUAAUAC